rnacentral:rRNA from 1 species
GACGAACGCUGGCGGCGUGCCUAGUACAUGCAAGUAGAACGCUGAAGGAGGAGCUUGCUCUUCUGGAUGAGUUGCGAACGGGUGAGUAACGCGUAGGUAACCUGCCUGGUAGCGGGGGAUAACUAUUGGAAACGAUAGCUAAUACCGCAUAAUAGUAGAUGUUGCAUGAUAUUUACUUAAAAGGUGCAAUUGCACCACUACCAGAUGGACCUGCGUUGUAUUAGCUAGUUGGUGGGGUAACGGCUCACCAAGGCGACGAUCCAUAGCCGACCUGAGAGGGGGACCGGCACAACGGGAAUGGAGCAAGGCCCAAGACUCUUACGGGAGGCAGAAGUGGGGAAUAUUGGGCAAUGGGGGAAAGCUGGCCGGAGCACGGCCGGGGGGUGGAGGAAGUUUUCCGGUCGGUAAAAUAUUUUUAACGGGGAGAAAGAGAGUUAGAGUUAAAAGUUCACGCUGUGACGGUACCUGACCAGAAAGCCACGGCUAACUACGUG